AUAGUAAUUACUAUUGUUACUAUGUUAUGACAAUAAUUAUUAUACUAUUGUUACCCCCAAUAGCAUGACUCCAAAUUUUGUCCACCUUGGUAACUAGGCUAGUUUUUUCCGAUAGAAAUGAGUUGUAUCAUCCUUCCUUCUAAUAGGGAGCUAGGUCUUUGGCCAAGAAGACAUUCUAUAGCUGCUUGAUUAACUUUCCCCGCUUUCCUCAGAGUGUUUAAAUCUAAUGCAGAAACUGAAGCGUAAAGUAUUUUUAAUUAGAUUAUUCCUGUUACCCUGCCAUUCAAGUUUAUAGCAAGAUACCUUUAAUUGAGGCACUCUAGUGAAAACCAGGGGAAGGUAUCAUUGUUUGUAUGCCUGCAUGUUUCUGAGAGAGAAGAAGGGAGAGAGAAAACAAAUGUUUAAAAGGUAAUGUUUUCAUUCAAGAUUUCCUUUCCUUUCAAGUUUCAGGUUUGUGGCUUUAGUAUUUUGAGUCUGGGAGAAUGAGGCUGCUACUCUGACCCUAAUUCACUAUCCUAGUAUCACACUAUAGGAUUGGAGGUACAUUGGAAUUUCAGACACACAUUUCCUAUGAAACUAAACUUCAUAAAACCCCUGGGGAAGCCUCUGCUGGCAGCUGUUUGCUGUUGUAAAGCAGGAAAUAAUGUGUGAGGAAGGAUGAUAGUGCAGGGAAAACAUUUUUUCUUGACUUCUCGAAAUUGGGGAGAUGCAGAUUGGAAGGAAUACUCUGGGGAAAAUGUGGCACAGAAUACCUGAUGGGGCAGUGUGGGGUGGGGAACCUGCCCCACUUGAGGACCUGGAGGCCACAGAUUCUCUGCUCCUGGUCUGAGGACUUACUGGGACUUAAGUACCUGUGUAUUCCUGCUGCUGAUUCGCCCUCUCAGAACUUGACAAGACAUUUUAAAGAGAGUAUCAGGUUCAUUCAUGAAUGCCGGCUUAGAGGUGAGGGCUGUCUUGUACACUG